GAACAGUACACAACAUAUUUUUUCUGUGUUUGCUUUGAAAAAUAUUAAAAAUUUAUAAGUGCUACCUCAAAAAAAAACAUCCCGAAAUUCAAAGAAGUAUUUAUUUUUUAACAAUGCUGUUAGUGCAAGUUUGUUCAAGCUGUCAAUAUUUUCGAGAUAUGCCUUUGCCGCAGCCGAUUUUAUUUGAAAUCAAGAAUAACGCAACAAUAUUGGAGCUCCGGCAAAAGUUGGAGCCCAUAACCGCUCUUCCAUUAAACAAGAUCAAACUGCGAAAAUCUGGCAAGACAAUAAACAAUAAUAAACGGAUUUUGGAUGUCUUGGGUGCGAGGACUUCGGAAGAUUUGGGAUUUGACGCGGAACUAUCUAUUUUGAGCGGAAAUUCAUUCUUCGCCCCCCUAAAAUUUUACGGGCAGGCAUAUAAAAACGGACAACCGCUUAACCACCAAUUCUACAUGCCUCAGCAAUAGCGCAUUCCUAGCUAUUCCAGAGCGAACAUCAGCGGGACCUCGAGGUUGGGUCAUCAGGACACUCUUGAAAUAGCCCAAGGAUCCUGUGUAAGACCGAUGUUCGAAGGCCAAUGACCCACGUCCUAUCAAUACCAGUAUAUUAUUUGACAAUAUUAUCCCGUCAAACAGGGCAUCUUUGUCUGGGUGAUAAAAUCGGCCCGAAUUCCUUUAUUUACUGAAAGUUACGAUCCCCACAUCGCUUAUAGCUAGCCAAUGCUUUGAAAGUAUUGAUAACUUGACCCUUCGCAAGUUGCCCAAUUCGUUGUAGGUCAUGUUGGCCGCCAGCAGUACAUUAGUCCUGGCCAUAUCCUCCUUAUAGGAUCUGUACGGCUUUGCAAAAGACUCCCCUUAAGAGUGCACCAGAAGUCUGAAGUACCCGGAAAGAAUGAUCUUUCGUUCAAAAAGUCCAAGUCAAAAAAAAUGUGUAAGUACAUCACUGAUCACAGUACAUCGGAAGUAGGCGGAAAAACAAAUAUGAUACGCGUCAGAAAAUGGGACAUAAUCUUUUAUUAGAAUCGGAAAAGCUGUUUUUUCGAUGAGGAAACCGAGGAAUACAGAAAAGAAUCCAUCGACCACCACCAACGGAGAUGGUCGACUUCAUGUCCGAACAGAAAAAUUAUUAUUUUAAUUCAAGAGAAAUCAAGUCAGUGGUCUGAAAUGGUGAAGAAAUGUCUUUGAAUGAGCUGAACAAGAAAAUGCA